GACGAACGCUGGCGGCGUGCUUAACACAUGCAAGUCGAGCGGUAAGGCCCUUUCGGGGGUACACGAGCGGCGAACGGGUGAGUAACACGUGGGUGACCUGCCCUCAGCUCUGGGAUAAGCCUGGGAAACCGGGUCUAAUACCGGAUAUGACUCCAUGACGCAUGUUGUGGGGUGGAAAGCCUUGUGCGGCUGAGGAUGGGCCCGCGGCCUAUCAGCUUGUUGGUGGGGUGAUGGCCUACCAAGGGGACGACGGGUAGCCGGCCUGAGAGGGCGACCGGCCACACUGGGACUGAGACACGGCCCAGACUCCUACGGGAGGCAGCAGUGGGGAAUCUUGCGCAAUGGGCGAAAGCCUGACGCAGCGACGCCGCGUGAGGGAUGACGGCCU
rnacentral:rRNA from 1 species